UACAGAGGUCCCAAGCGUUGUUCGGAUUCACUGGGCGUAAAGGGUGCGCAGGUGGUCGGGUAAGUCUGACGUGAAAUCCCGCAGCUUAACUGCGGAAUGGCAUUGGAUACUAUUCGGCUAGAGGGUUGGAGGGGGGACUGGAAUUCUCGGUGUAGCAGUGAAAUGCGUAGAUAUCGAGAGGAACACCAGUGGCGAAGGCGAGUCCCUGGACAACUCCUGACGCUGAGGCACGAAAGCUAGGGGAGCGAACAGG
rnacentral:rRNA from 1 species